rnacentral:tRNA from 1 species
GCGCGGUUAGCUCAGUGGUAGAGCACGUGCUUCACACGCACGGGGUCGCAGGUUCGAACCCUGCACCGCGCA